AGAUACCAUGAAAAAAUCAUCUAUAAAAAUAUCUACAUUAAAACUUCAGCUGAGAGCUGCAGCUGCGAUUUUACAAAAAGGCAAUCUUUGAAAGGGUCUGGCUCAGAAAUAUACAAACAUUACACAACAGACGUCAAAGUAGGACAGCUCAGAAAUGCCUCUGAGGAGGGAUUGCAACUGGUUUUGUCAUGAGAUACAAUUAAGAAUUCUUAUUGCAUAGCAGAAAAAUGAGGUCACUUCAUUUGCAUAAUACUGCCAUAUUAUUUGUUUUUUUUUAAAGAUGGAGAUGCUCUUGGGUACUUGGGAGAAGUGACUUCUACGCUGUCCGAAUCAGCAUCCAAGCAGUGUCUAAGCUGCUUUUGACCUUAGGUUUCAGAAGUUGCUGGAAUGAACUGGAAAGAAUAGUAUACCAACUUCAUGGGAUGAGGAAAAAUGAAUUUGCAACCCCAGCCUUGCCACAGGCAACCUGUAUUAUGGUCUUUUCGCCAAUGACUAAGCAGAAUGAAGCCGGGAAGGAAAUCUGGACACAGAAAGAAGGCGGAGUCGAGGAGACGCCAUGUAGCCACUGGAGAGGCAAGAUGACAGGGCAUCACUGGUAAACCACAGCCACAUGGGGAUACACAGUUUACUAGAAAUGGGUUAACUUAUAAGAGAGAGAGCUAGCUAGUAAUAAGCCUAAGCCAUUGGCCAAACAAUUAUAAAUAUAUGUUGAGUCUCUGAGUGGUUGUCAUAUAAGCAGCUGCAGGGACCCGGUGGGCAGAGAGAAACCAGUCAAGUGGGAUUGGGCUUCAAAUUACAUCUGGUGCCCAGCAUGGGGCUCAAAACCAUGACCCUGAGACAAGGUUACUAUCAUCUCGUAUCUUAUACUUUUGGUUGUGAGCCUAGCCUUUAACGGCUGAGCCAUCUCUCCAACCCCAUCCUCUUGUAUCUUAGCUAAAACACUUUAGUACAAGACUUAGGCUCCUCAGGAUAGGGCGGCUUUGGAAUGAUCCCUAUUAUUUGCCAAUUAUCCAUAGCCUGAACAUUUAGUAUAUCCUUGUGUUUCUUGCUUUAUGCUGUAGUUCUAUUGUUGUGUAUGUUAGUAUCCUUGCUCUUGGACAAUACUUGGUAUUUGUUCUUAUUAUACACAGUUUUGUGUUAGGCUUAGAACCUUCUUAUUUAGACAAAAAUGGGAAGUGUUAUGGGAAAUUAUUCUACCAAUAGUUUUGGGGUACCUGCCUUAGGGCGUGGCUUCUGCGGGUGGACAUAACCCCUUAUAAGGAAACGGGAGAGGUCUCUCUCACCCUCUCACUCUCUCCCUCUCUCGUGUGGUGGACAGAGACAAGAUGGCAGUUUCCAUUGACCCCAGGGACAGAAGGGAAGAUGUGGCUCUGCAACUCCUUGCUCCUGUGGCUGAAGGCCAAAUGCCAUCACCGCAUCACCGCAGCCUCAGGCAGCCGAUUGGUCACGCCCCUCCAUUCAUGCUUCUCGCCAAUCAGCCGAGGUGUUUGUCCCAGGGUCGUAAACCUCGACGCUCUUCCUCACCAAGGGUCCGUCGUGUCCCCCCGUGGCGUACAGCUGUCCGCUGAGGACCCCAACUCCUGAAAGGCAAAGCGCAGUGUCCUAGCCUCGGCCCCUGCUAGAAGCACCAGAAACCAAGAGGUCUGGUGUCCAGCCCUGGACAGCCGUCACCAGCAGGGUGACUUGGGGAACAAGUGCCGUCUCCCUGGACCCCGGUCUCCUAAUCUGUUAAGCAAAUACGAGGAUGCUCUCUACCUGGCUCCGCGUAAGACAGGCAGCCUGGAAUCAUGGGGAUCCAAAGCCAAUGUCGCCCGUUUCUGCUUUUAAAAUGACACCUUGCUUUCCUUCAAUGUCUUAUUAUUCAGCCCUGUAUCCGUUGAGUAAAGAGCCACAGAGCAGCAGCGCUGCUGAGGUCACCACUGGGGAGACAUCCCUGCUGGCCUGUCCCUUCUCCUUGACGGCAGAAGGCAUCAGACAUCUCCAGGGGAGGAGCUGCCCAGGAUGAGCAGUCCGUUGCUAUGAGACAAGGAGACGCAGACGCAGGCCAUAAAGGGAGAAAGGGCCACCUAGUGAGGGCAGCUGGCCUGGAAGCUGGGGCACCUAGACCUGCCUCUCUAACAUCCCUCUGGGUACCCCUCCUCUCUCCCAUCCACGGAGGGAAGGAGUUGGAAUGAUUCUGUGAUCCAUGGGCUACUGUCUUCUCUGGACAGGCUGCACCCUCCCGCUGGGAACUUUCUGGAAAGACAGGGCCUUAGUCCCACAGACACUGCUCAGAAGCCCCAAAAAAGAGUGUCUUGGUGAAUGGGAUGUGGGGUCAGGCUGUGGGUCUGGGAGCUGCAUCUAGAGAUACAGACUUCACGAGGUCAAGAACUGCUUAUGUCUUGCCCUGGCCUCUUCUCGAGGCUGCUGCUGCUGCUGCUGCUGGGCUCUCUCUCGGUAGAUGCCAUCUAAAUGACAAGAUGUAAAAUCCAGCUGGUGGUUGUUCAUGCGGGUUAGCCAGUGGGUCCUAGCAGUUGCCCUAAACUAGCAGCAGAUGGUGCUGCUGGUCCAACAAUGGCUGGCAUCAGGUUGUGGGAUUCAGAAAAUCGGUAGCUUCAUGCUGCCUCACCUCCCCUUCCUCCAGGGGCAGCAGGAGCUGACACCCCCAGGAUCCCGACAUGGCCUCCAUCCAUCCCUCUGCUUGUGCUGUCUACUGCGAAGGGAGCUCGCGGUACCCCAGGCAUGCCCUGGCAACUCUCAUCCCUUGGCAGCCUGUCCACAGACACCCAUGGAGGAGCCACACUGGGCUCUCGGGCAGCUGGGAUACAGAGCCUUUGGUCUCCGAGUCCUUGGCUCUCAGAAGCACCGACCAUUGGCUCCCAGCUCUAGAGACGGCAACGCCAACUCGAAGCCGAGUGAAGCUUUGAAGACAGGGAAGCAAGGACAGUGCUCCAUAGUAACCUGAACAGAAAGCUCAUUCCCAAGCCAAGGUCGCCGGGCCGCUCGGAGACAUAAGCAGCAGAUAAUGACAUCAUCUGGGGCCUCCAGCCAAGGAUGGGCCAGGCACCCAACCACCUUCUGAGCACAAAGAAGGUGCUAGGAGCUAUAAUUACUAAGUGAUGAGGAAGGGGGAAGGUUCCAGAAUGGGACUGGUCCUUUGAGAGCGUGGGAAGCCCAUGUGUUGCACAGCUGAGGUAGUCCAGCACACUGAGCUCUGAAGCUCGGGUUUCUUGACUUCAAGGGAUUCAUGGGGGAGGUCAAGUUGUCAGGGUUAGCAGAGACAGCUCCCCAAAAGAACUCCGAAUGCACGCUUAUGAGAUAGAAUCACACGGGCUUUCUACUUCAUGGUCCAUCAAUGGGUACACAAAACUUUUCUGCAAAAAAAAAAAAAUUAAAACAACCUGAUUUUUACAAAAUGCCGAGGCUGCGGGUAUGUGACGUCGCAAUCCAGCCUCCAAACGUAGGUGGAGGCAGAGCCGAGAGAGUGAACGCACGUAGCUCUGUGGGGAGUGUGUGGUUUCUCAUCUCAGGAAUUGUGAGGCCUUCCCAACCAGCCCCAGACUGAGAACCAGAUCAGUUGCCAGGAGCCCAGGAGCGGUGGCCAAGGCCUCUGCUUGCUCCCCCAGACCGUGUGCCCCCAUGGAGGGGGAGACAAAGGAGGGAGGAGGAGACUGCUGUGGCAGCCCCUGAGUGCCUGGACGUCCCCACACAGCAGAAAUAGAAAGCCAUUUGGGAGGUCAUUUUCUCCUCGUGAACAAAGGAAAUGUGUGUAUAAGGGACCUAGACUUAUCUCCAGCCGCAAACACUGCUGGAUUUUUAGCUCCAAAGACACCAGCUUCAGGCAGGCAAGCUGGGCUAAAUCUCACAGGGACGAGGCUCGUUGUUACAGCUCUAAAAGCUUUACCCUGGAAAGAGAAUUCUAGCUCUGCGGGCUUCGAACCUUGGGCUAAGUGAUCCCUCUGAGGUGGAAUCGGUAUCGGUGAGCCUUUUAGGGCUGAGGUGAGGACUGAGUGCAUGGAGGCGUCUGCCGGGCGCAGCUGUGAUCCCAGCACGCAGAGGCUGAAGCGGGAGGCUUUGAGUUUGAGGUCAGCCUGGGCUACAGAAUGAGACUCGGAGGAAGGAAGGGAGUUGUCUGUAUCAUGACAGCACCUGCACACAGUGGGCCUUUACUUUCCAGGGAUGUAGACCCACACACAAACAGAACGAAGGCCCCAGUGUGGCCUGGGCUAUUGGUGAGUUUGAGGCCUGCCGGGGCCAUGCAACCACUGUCUAAAACAAACGAGAGCAGUAGUGAUGGGGAAGUCCUGUGUCUAUGUCAAUAAAGCACUGUUGGCCAAUAGGGAAGCAAGAUA